UACGGAGGGUGCAAGCGUUAAUCGGAAUUACUGGGCGUAAAGGGUGCGUAGGUGGUCUGAUAAGUUAUCUGUGAAAUCCCUGGGCUCAACCUGGGCAGGUCAGAUAAUACUGUUGGACUCGAGUAUGGGAGAGGGUAGUGGAAUUUCCGGUGUAGCGGUGAAAUGCGUAGAGAUCGGAAGGAACACCAGUGGCGAAGGCGGCUACCUGGCCUAAUACUGACACUGAGGCACGAAAGCGUGGGGAGCAAACAGG
rnacentral:rRNA from 1 species